CUCGUGGUUCCUUUUUCCUAUGCAUAUACUUCUUUGAGAUUAAAUUCUAAAGAGGCGUAGGGCAUGGGAAAAUGGGGCCAUGGAGCUCCUC
ensembl:miRNA